UUCCUCCUAGAAGGCAGAACCGCCGAGUUCAUUGUGGGUGGUGGACGGCUCCAGCAGGAGGUUGACCUGAGUGGCUCAUGGCCUUUUCAGGCUUAACUGUGGACAUUACACAGUGUUAUUUCCAGGACAUCUGUCAGUGUCUUAAUUCUGUAUCUACACAGAGAGAAAGCCAUGAGAGAACCCUAGGAGAAGGCCGUCAUCUCAAAGCCAAGGAUGGACUGCUCAAGAAAAUCCAACUCGACCUUAAAUCCCAGCCUCCAGAACAUGAGAGAAUGGUGUUCGGUCUUUUAAACAACCGGGUCUGUGGUAUUUUGUGAUGGCAGGCCUAGUAAACUAAGAUAAGACUCUAAAA